ACCGUUCUCUAUCUGCAUCAAUAUCUUUAAUUAUGACUUGUUAUUUUCAUUUUUGAUUACUUGAUUUUCAAUAUUCUUUUCUUCAUUAAUUAAUUUGGUCUGUUUGGUUUUGGUUUGAUUUUGUCCUCUUUAAUUAAAUUUGGCAGGCCUUGUUUAAAAUUGUAAUUGGCUUUGAGAUUGGACAAAGGUUGGCUUUCGUGAUUCUGUGAAGCUUGUUUUUCCCCUCCAAUUUGCAUUUGCAUUGCAAAAUUAUUAAGAUGAGAACAAAUGUUUGAGUUUAUUGUUUUUAAGAUAGAAGUUCGUUAAUUAUGUUUAUUUUGACUUUUCUUUUGAUCACUAAAGGGUAUUUGUGUUUCUUCUGCACAAACAACAGGCGAGGAAAAGAGAAAAGAUGGCAAAGC